GGCAGUGUGGCUGAGGUCUAAGGUGCUGGAUUCAGGUUCCAGUCUCUCUGGAGGUGUGGGUUCAAAUCCCACCACUGCCA